AACCCUGCCUGGCGUUGACACCACCGUGACAUCCGUGCUACAUCUCUAAUCCCCAUAGGGUGCCCACCCUUCCUGCCAGCAGCAUCUACCCGCUCUUGCAGAUGGCCGAACAUCAGAGGGCCGCCUGCCCUGGUCUCUGCUCCAGGGCCUGGCUUCCUCUGCCCGUUGCAUAAGGAGCUCAACGCGGCUGACCUGCGGCGACUGCUGGCCGGCGCCACGGUCUGCUGCUCGGAAUGCAGGCCAGGGCAGGCGGGUGAGCAGCUGCCCCAUUCUUCAGAAAGAAAAAAAGGGCUGUUCUGGGCACAAAGUAGAACGCUGCCUAAACACGGGCAUGUAAAGAAGCAUGUCAAAUUCCAGAGACUGCACUCUGUGGCUUAGGUGAAUAAAUCCCAGUGAAGUCAUAUUUUAAGCACCUAAGCCCCUUUAUGGAUCUGAGCCCAAACUUGAGGGCAAACUUGACUGGUGUCACUAAAAGCACAGCCCAAGUUUUCAGCAGCAGGAUCAGCCUCUUGCUGCAAAACAAAAUUCUUACUCGAUCCUUAAUUACAUUAGCAAAUCUGUACCUCUAGUAUAGUGAUAAUAGACUGCCUAAAAAAGGCCUCUCCUUACCUCACAUUUGCUUGUUUUUAAGGUUUAUUUUUCAGACUUUAAAUAACUGUUUAAUAGGCUAAAGCCUUUUUUCUUCAGCAAAAUAAAUCUUAAUAACUUGAUAUGUAUUAUUUUUUUUUACAUUUUGGAGGCCACUCUAAUCCCUGCCAAUCAUAGGUUUGGGCAAUUUCUCCAGGUUAAAGCCUUCUCUCAUGCUGUCUGAAUCUACCUCACCAUCCAUCAGUGCAUGUGGUUCCCUGCAUACCUUUACCUAAGGAAGGAAAAUGAAAUGACAGGUAACAAUUGGACUAUGGACUUGAUUCCAGAAAGAAGCCCACAAAUGCCCAGUUUUACAGGUUUUAAAACUCAUGCAGAGAAAUUUUGCAGAUUCCACUUCCUUCUCUUCCCUCCAUGGAGGCAUGGGGAAGAAUCUUAAAUUAUCCUGCUACAGACCUGCCUGGUCUUCACAGAAUUAGCCCUGGGUAGUAGCUUCAGAUGCAGACGAGGGUCUGAACAGUCUGGAUCAGAGCUGGGAGCCAGAGGCCCCCUGUCCUGUCCUGUCCAGCCACUUCCCCAGCAAUGCAGCAGUACAGCGCAAAUGCCCCGCCAAGGACGCGCAGCUUCUUGGAAGAAGAAAAUAGUAAUAAUCUACAGCAAGUCAGUGUAGCAGUUCAUCGAUCAAGGCUCGGUAGCCGUUCUCCUGCAGCUCUGCUCGGCAGUUACCAACAGAUGGCAGUACGGCACUGGGGAUUCGGUAUCUCAUUUGCCAAGUUCUCAGAGGAAAUCAUUGCACCAGCCUGGUUUGCAGGUCUGUGAUCAGCCAUCCUUGUCUCUUGUUUUUGUAAAGGUGAGCCCAUCAGUUAGGUAAAAUAUGGUUCCACUCGAAACAAUGGGAAAUUAAUGUUGAUGUUAGCAGAAUUAUGUCAGUUCCCAUAACUAUUACUUUUUCAGGUAAUUGUUGUAUUUAUUAUACUCUGUAUUACCAUUAAAUAUUAUUUUUAUAAUUAUGUGUAAUUACAUAAAUAUUACACAUUGUACUUAUUUUGCACAUAUACCAUACAAUAGAGAGGAAAGGUCUUAAAGCAUACUAUUUAGGGAAAAUGGUAUGUAUUUCCAUAUUAAAAAUACUUUAACAAUGGAAAUGGUUUAAUACAGACAUUUAAGUUACUUUGUUUUCUAGAAAAAUACAUUUUUUGGAGUCAUAGGGUCUGAUCUACUCUUGCUAAGUCUAAUACAAGAUUGCUGCUCAUACUAAAAGCUGCAGAACCAAGCUCUUAGAAUAUAUUCUUUUAAAACAUGGUUACUACUUUAAAUGUUCAUAAUUGCUGCAGUGAAUUGCAUAUGUAUCUGAUGACUAGGAGUUUUCAGUAUCAAGUAAGAAGUGACUUUAACACUUUUGGUCAUGUGUGUUAUUAAUUCAAAGUUCUAGCAAAUUCUCUGUAUAUGAUUUUUUAAUUGUAAAUCAAGUCCUGAAUGGGAAGCAAAGACAGCUUUAAAGUAGCAUUCACAUGGAAGUUUUGGCAGCUGACCCACUGAAGUGGAGUUUUGAGACUUGUGCUUUGCACUGCUAUCAUUUCUGCCACUAGUUUCCUUCCUCCCCUCUUAGUGAGGCUCCUGCUGGGAAUGUAACACACAUCACUGGAAUAGGCAGUGAUGUGCCAGCCUGCAUCUGCUACAAAGCAGCCUAAAAAUAAAUCCCAAUUGGACAAUGCCAUUUGGUGUAGAGCAGCACAUAGUCUAAUAAUGUAAACCAGGCUGUCAGCAAAGAUAAAUGAUUGUUCAGCUACAUGCAAAACAAA